rnacentral:rRNA from 1 species
AGUGAACGCUGGCGGCGUGCUUAACACAUGCAAGUCGAACGAGAACGGAAUAUAGCUUGCUAUAUUUGUCAGCUAAGUGGCGCACGGGCGAGUAAUGUAUAGAUAACAUUCCCUUAAGAAAGGAAUAACAGUUGGAAACGACUGCUAAUGCCCUAUAUGCCUUUAAUACAUAAGUAUGCAAGGGAAACGCUUUAGUGCUUAAGGAUGGGUCUGUAUGGUAUCAGCUUGUUGGUGAGGUAAUGGCUCACCAAGGCUAUGACGCCUAACUGGUUUGAGAGGAUGAUCAGUCACACUGGAACUGAGACACGGUCCAGACUCCUACGGGAGGCAGCAGUGGGGAAUAUUGCACAAUGGACGAAAGUCUGAUGCAGCAACGCCGCGUGGAGGAUGACACAUUUCGGUGCGUAAACUCCUUUUAUAUAGGAAGAUAAUGACGGUACUAUAUGAAUAAGCACCGGCUAACUCCGUGCCAGCAGCCGCAGUAA